rnacentral:rRNA from 1 species
AUUGAACGCUGGCGGCAUGCCUUACACAUGCAAGUCGAACGGCAGCACGGGAGCUUGCUCCUGGUGGCGAGUGGCGAACGGGUGAGUAAUGCAUCGGAACGUGCCCUGAAGUGGGGGAUAACGUAGCGAAAGUUACGCUAAUACCGCAUAUUCUGUGAGCAGGAAAGCAGGGGAUCUUCGGACCUUGCGCUUUUGGAGCGGCCGAUGUCGGAUUAGCUAGUUGGUGGGGUAAAGGCCCACCAAGGCGACGAUCCGUAGCGGGUCUGAGAGGAUGAUCCGCCGACACUGGAACUGAGACACGGUCCAGACUCCUACGGGAGGCAGCAGUGGGAAUUUUGGACAAUGGCGCAAGCCUGAUCCAGCCAUGCCGCGUGAGU